GAAAUAACAGGAGAAGUAAGCUAUUUGUUGGCUUUUUGUGGGUUAGACAUCUAGCAAUAAUUUCUUAAAUUAUUCUUUUCCAAAACAUCAGUCAUUAGUCCCUAUCUUCAGCUGCUUGAGGUUCUUUAGUAAAUCAGAAGGGUUACAAAAGGAAAGAGGACAAGAGAAGAUGAUUUUCUUAGUCAAAAAUCAAGAAAAAUUCAGCUAUGAAGAGAUGAAGUAGUGAUAAGUUGGUUUGAAAGAGGGAAGUAGUUGAUUUUG
rnacentral:lncRNA from 1 species